CCCCUCUCAGGCUCACACCUGGAGAGUUUCCAGUACUCUACCAGUCUCGACUAUGGGAGGGAGAGUCAAGAAGAGGCAGAUCCAUUCCAUUCCUAGCUUGGACAGUGGCUAGAGAGUGGAAGGCCAUCUGCUACCAGU
rnacentral:snoRNA from 1 species